rnacentral:rRNA from 1 species
AUUGAACGCUGGCGGCAUGCCUCACACAUGCAAGUCGAACGGCAGCACGGACUUCGGUCUGGUGGCGAGUGGCGAACGGGUGAGUAAUGUAUCGGAACGUGCCCAGUCGUGGGGGAUAACGUAGUGAAAAUUACGCUAAUACCGCAUACGAUCUAUGGAUGAAAGCGGGGGAUAGCAAGACCUCGCGCGAUUGGAGCGGCCGAUGCCAGCUUAGGUAGUUGGUGGGGUAAAGGCCCACCAAGCCAACGAUCUGUAGCUAGUCUGAGAGGACGACCAGCCACACUGGACCUGAGACACGGUCCAGACUCCUACGGGAGGCAGCAGUGGGGAAUUUUGGACAAUGGGCGAAAGCCUGAUCCAGCCAUUCCGCGUGCAGGAUGAAGGCCCCCGGGUUGUAAACUGCUUUUGUACAGAACGAAAAGGUUUCUACUAAUACUAGGAGCUCAUGACGGUACUGUAAGAAUAAGCACCGGCUAACUACGUGCCAGCAGCCGCCGUAA